UUGAGUUUAACAUUUAAGGUCUCCUAGGUUUUUUGGGUCAUUUAUAGUGUUAGGGUUUAGGGUUUAGGGUUUUUAUAAGGUUUAGGAUUUAGGUUUGUUAGGUUUAAGACUUUUUAGAGGUUUUUUAGGUUUAGAGUUUUUAAUGUUUUUUUUUUUUUUAGGGUUUAGGAUUUCUUAGUGCUUUUUUGGGUUUAGGGUUUGGGGUUUUCUUAGGGUUCAGAUUUUGGGUUCAUGGUUUUUAAGGGUUUACGAUUUAGAGUUUCUUAGGGUUUAUGGUUCAAGGUUUAGAGUUUGGGAUUUAGGGUUCCUUAGGUUUAGGGGUUUUAAAUUAUUAUUUUUUAGGUUUUUUAGGGUUUAGGUUUUCUUAGUGAUUUUUAAGGGUUUAGGUUUUCCUAGUGUUUCAUAUGGUUUGGGGUUUAGGGUUUAGCCCUAUGGUUUAGAGUUAAGGAUUUAGUGUUUCUUAGGAUAUAUGAUUUAGCGUUUAAGAUUUCUUAGGGUUUUGUAUUUUUAAGGGUUUUUUGGAUUUAGGGUUUUGGGCUUAAGAUUUUCUAGGGUUUUAUUAGGUUUAGAGGAAUUUUUAGGUUUAGGGUUUUAAGGUGUUUAGGAUUUUUAUGGUUUGUUAACGAUUAAGGGGUUCUUAGAUCUUAUGGAUUUUAUAGGAUUUUUUGGGUUUACGGUUUUUAAAAGUUUAGGGUUUUAAUAGUUUUUUUAGGAUUUUUUUUCUUCUUAAAGUUUAGGGUUUUAAUAGUUUUUUAGGAUUUUUUUUAGGUUUAUGAUUUUUAUAAUUAGGGUUUUGAAAUGUUUUAUGGUUUCUUAGGUUUUUUUAAGAAUUUGGAUUUCUUAAGAUUUAGGAUUACAUAGGAUUUAGGGCAUAGGAUUUUAAGUUUAGGGUUUUUUUUAGGGCUUAGGGUUUUAAAGGGUUUUUUUUUUCGCCCGGGUAUUAUAGUUUUAGGGGUUUUAAUGGAUUUUAGGGUUUAGGUUUUCCUAGUGUUUCAUAUGGUUUGGGGUUUAGGGUUUAGCCCUAUGGUUUAGAGUUAAUUAUUAUUUUUUAGGUUUUUUAGGGUUUAGGUUUUCUUAGUGAUUUUUAUGGUUUAGGUUUCAUUGGGUUUAGGGUUUUUUAAAAAUAAUUUUUAGGGUAAUUUUCUUAGUGUUUCUUAGGAUUUCUUGGUUUAGGGCAUAGGGUUUUAGGUUUAAAUUAUUAUUUUUUGAGUAUUUUAGGGUUUCUAAGGGCUUAUGAUUUCCUAAGUGUUUUUUAGGUUUAGUGUUUUAAAAGGUUUUUAGGGAUUUUAAGUGUUUUUUUUAGGAUUUCUUUAUGGUUAGGGUUAAGGCCAAUGGUUUAGGGUUUAGGCCCUAAGGAAUAGGGUUUCAGAUUUUAGGUCAAGAGUUUUUUAGGGUUUAUGGUUUUUUUUAGGUUUAUGAUUUUUAUAAUUAGGGUUUUGAAAUGUUUUAUGGUUUCUUAGGUUUUUUUAAGAAUUUGGAUUUCUUAAGAUUUAGGAUUACAUAGGAUUUAGGGCAUAGGAUUUUAAGUUUAGGGUUUUUUUUAGGGCUUAGGGUUUUAAAGGGUUUUUUUUUUCGCCCGGGUAUUAUAGUUUUAGGGGUUUUAAUGGAUUUUAGGGUUUAGGUUUUCCUAGUGUUUCAUAUGGUUUGGGGUUUAGGGUUUAGCCCUAUGGUUUAGAGUUAAGGAUUUAGUGUUUCUUAGGAUAUAUGAUUUAGCGUUUAAGAUUUCUUAGGGUUUUGUAUUUUUAAGGGUUUUUUGGAUUUAGGGUUUUGGGCUUAAGAUUUUCUAGGGUUUUAUUAGGUUUAGAGGAAUUUUUAGGUUUAGGGUUUUAGGGGUUUGUUGGUGUUUCAUAAGUCUUGGGGUUUAGGGCUUUCCCUAAGGUUUAGGGUUUAGUAUUUCUUAGGGUUUAGGGUGUAUGAUUUAGGGUUUCUUAGGGUUUCAUAUUUUUUAUGUUUAGGCUUUUAAAGUGUUUUUAAGGUGUUGAUCUAAUAUUCUUAUGAUAUACCAACUCAAGGUUAGCUUGGGGUCACUCGUGAUCCUAGAUCCUGUGUUACGUCAAUGGGGGUAACCUCGGGGCGUGACAAAAACUAUGUCUGAAUAAAAGCCUCUAACUGACUAGUGAAACUGGGACAUGCCCCCAGCUCACUCUAGCAAAACUGAAACUAAAAUGAAAUACUGAGUAUAAAACAUGUAUUGCGUCCUCAAAAAAUGAGGACUCACCACUUAUAUUGCUGAAUACGGAUCGAGAACCGAUCUCCACGUAAUUUGAAUGAUGAGGACCUGAACCUACAUCACAAGAAGAUGUAGUGUAGAGUAUGUGUCAGUACUUGAAAGGUACUGAUCAUGCAUGAUAGGAUAAUGCUGAACAAAUAUAUAUAACUGAAUAAUAUUGAACAAUGAUAUAAUCUGAACAUAAUGAAUAAGAGUUUAGGUAUUUGGUUAAGGGUUUUUAGGUUAGGGUUUAGAGCUUAAGUUAUUCUAGGAUUUUUUUAGGUUAUGAGUUUUUUCGAUUUUCGAUUUUAAAUUUUUUUUCAGGAUCAUUAUUUUUUUAGGGUUUAGGAAUUCUAUGGGCUUAGGGCUUAGGGCUUUAGAUUAAGGAUUUUUUUUAUGGUUUUUAAGGUUUCAUAGGGUUUUUAGUUUUAGUGUUUUUAGUGUAUUGUUUUUCUUAGGAUUUAGGAUUUCUUAGGGUUUAGGGCUUCUUAGAAUUUCAUAAGGCUUAGGGUUGGGGGUUUAUCCCUAAGGUUUAGGGUUUAGGUUUCAUAGGGUUUGAUUUUAAAAUUUAAGAUCUCCUAGGUUUUUUUGUGUCACACACCAACCCUAGGUGAGGCGGACAAGUACCAUAUGAACACAUGCUUUACAAGUGACCUAUGUUGAGAAAGUAAACUACUAUAAUAGAUUUACUAAUGAGAAGCGUCAUAUACAACAUAUGUUGACCAGCUGAAUCAAUAGGUGUGACAAGUGAAACUAUGAAUACAGAUGAUAGCUUUACAAUGUCUACAAAGCCUCUACUAUCCGUGACUGUACCACUAUGAAAAUGCGCAUAGUAAAGACUCGGAAAAUCCCCGAAUCAACCUGGAGCUCACCAACAACCGCUGAGUAUCAUGUGCUUCUAUUGGGGAUAUCAACUAGUUGAAUACACAUCCUGCAGCAUGAAAUGCAGCGUCCCCAAUAAGGGACGUCAGUACAAAAUAAUAUACUGAAUAUGUAAGGUAUAAUACAACCAUAUGUAAAAUGAGAGCUCAAGUGAAACCAAAUACAAAUAGAUAAGGAUUUGAGACCACCUUUGCUUAUACUUGUAGAAUCCUGUAUGUUACAUUCUUUUCUUUACUUUUCUGUGCGUUAUAAUUUUAUAAGACAUGAUACAAUGACCAGCUGAUCAGUGUGGUAGAAGAGGAUGACCCUAGGCAUUUUAACCCCUGGGAUGCUGUCCUCAUAAUUUCGCAAAUUGGGAUCGGCCCAUACUAGGCUUUUGCCCCUGAGCUGCCACCCUUCUAUACCAAUUGGGAUUGGCCCAUGCUAGGCUUUCACCCCUGAGCUGCCACCCUUCCCUUUCCCUUUAAUCACGUUUAUAUAUUGUACAACCUUUGUAUCAGGUCCUCCCAAACUCCCUGCAAUAUUUAAGUCCUUUAACGUCUCCAUAACUUCCCCGCACAUCCAGUCACAUCCCUUAUUAUACAUACAUAAAAUAAUCCUUAAACAUAAUAAAGUAACAGAAGCAAUAUGAAUCAUGGUUUCUGAUCACCAGCACUUGAAGAGCUAAUAUUAAUUUUGAAGUGCUCAAACAAGCUCAUAACUGAAUUUGAAGGGGACUCCUCUCCAUGGCUGUCCCAACAUGCACUAAUCACCAGGACAUCCUCCCCAAUAUUACACCAUUUAAAAGGAUCAAUUUGUAACUCACUAACACAUACCAAAUGUCCUAAUUAACUUAAGCACAAGAGAGAUAAAAUUGUAGUAGCUUACCUUGCUGGACAGAACUCCCACUUGCUAAGACUUGGAUUCUUCAAGGUAAGGUUGUGCUCCUCAACUUGUCUUAACUUAUACCUUCCAAUAGCUUGAACUCCAUAUGAUUUUUAAGGGUUUAGGGUUCAAGGUUUAGAGUUUGCGAUUUAGGGUUCUUUAGGUUUAGGGGUUUUAAAGUUUUUUUUUUGAGGUUUUUUAAGGUUUGGUUUUUCUUAGUGAUUUUUAGGGUUUAGGAUUUCUUAGUGAUUUUUUAGGGUUUAGGGUUUAGGAUCUUAGGUUUUAGGGUAUUAGGGUUUAUAAGGGUUUAAGGUUUAGAGUUUCUUAGGGUUUCUUCGUUUAGGUUUUAGGGAUUCGGAUUUUAGGUUAAGUGUUUUUUGGAGUUUCUGGUUUUUUUAGGUUUAUGAUUUUUAUGAUUAAGGUUUUUAAAUGUUUUAGGGUUUCUUAGUUUUUUUUGAGAAUUUGGAUUUCUUAAGAUAUAGGAUUACGUAGCCCUAAUAUAUGGCAUAGGAUUUUAAGUUUAGGGUUUAGAGCUUAAAUUUUUCUAAAAAAAUUUAGGUCAAGAGUUGUUUUCAAUUUAGGAUUGAUAAAGAAUUUUUAGGAUCAUUAUUGAUUUUACGAUAUAUGAGUUCUAAGGGCUUAGGACUUAGGGUUUUAGAUUAAUGAAUUUUUUUAGGGUUUUAAAGGUUUGUUUUUUGAAAUUUUAGUAUUAGUGUUUUAAAGGUUUUUAUUGUUUAGCUUUUCUUAGGAUUUCUUAGGGUUUAGGGCUUCUUAGAGUUUCAUAAGGCUUAGGGUUGGGGGUUUAUCCCUAAGGUUUAGGGUUUAAGUUCUUAGGGUUUGAGUUUAACCUUUAAGGUCUCCUAGGUUUUUUUUGGGUCAUUUAGGAUGUAGGUGCUUAGGGUUUAGUGUUUUAGGUUUAGGGUUUUUCUACGGUUUAGGGUUUAGGUUUGGUAGGUUUAAGAUUUUUUAGGUUUAGAGUUUGUAAAGUUUUUUUUGUUGUUUUUUAAUGUUUAUAUUUUCUUAGGAUUUAGGAUUUCUUCGGGUUUAGGGAUUCUUAGAGUUUCAUAAGGCUUGGGGGUUGGGGGUUUAUCCCUAAGGUUUAGGGUUUAGGUUUCUUAGGGUUUGAGUUGAACAGUUAAGGUCUCCUUAGGUUUUUUUGGGUCAUUUAGGGUGUAGGGUUUAGUGUUUUAGAUUUAGGGUUUUCUAGAAUAGGGUUUAAGUUUGUUAGGUUUAAUUAUUUUUAGAGGUUUUCUAGGGUUAGAGUUUAUAAAAAUAAAUUUAUUGUUUUUAGGGUUUUGGGUUUCUUAGUGCUUUUUGGGUUUAGGGUUUGGGGUUUUCUUAGGGUUAGUGUAGACACGUAAUUUUGACCGAACUUGAUAUUUUACACAAAUUUUAGUGGUUAAAUAUUUCUUUUACGUUUAAAUUAAAUAUUUUGAUAAGUUUAGUGUAAAAAUAUUUGAAAAUCACAAAAAUAGAGCCAAGUUUUAAGUUAAGUUUUGUUUCCAAUUUAUUCAAAAAAAAAAAAAUAGUUCAAAAAAUUUAUGUUUUCUUUUAAUGUAUAUUUAAUAAAUAAAUUUAGUGUUUCUUAAUUAUAUUUUUAAUUAGCUAUUUAACUUUUCUUAAAUUUACAUUAAUUUAAAAUAAUUAGUUAGUAAUUAUAUUUUAUAUAUACCUACACUUACCCCACCUUAAACCCCCACUUCCCUCCCCCAUUUUCUACCACACAACCCAUUACAUACCCCCACACACACGUACUACACAUUCCUAUAAACAACAACACCCUCCUAUAUUAAAACAACACUGACCAACAUACAGGAAAAAUAAAAAAAAAACGGACAGAAAUCAGAAAACACAGAGAGAAAAAAAACAACACUAUACUACACGAGCAAGAAGAAAAAGGAAAACACUUCCAUUUUAUUUAUUCUUCUUUCAAACAAUAAUCAUACAUUCACNNNNNNNNNNNNNNNNNNNNNNNNNNNNNNNNNNNNNNNNNNNNNNNNNNNNNNNNNNNNNNNNNNNNNNNNNNNNNNNNNNNNNNNNNNNNNNNNNNNNNNNNNNNNNNNNNNNNNNNNNNNNNNNNNNNNNNNNNNNNNNNNNNNNNNNNNNNNNNNNNNNNNNNNNNNNNNNNNGUUCAUUAGUUGUGAUGUCUUAAAAUGAAUGGGUCAUGAUGUUGUUCAUUUCUUGAUUUCGAUGCUAAUAAUGAUAAAGUAGGAAUUAUUGGGUUCACAAAAUUAUUGUUGUUUUAUUUAUUAAAUAAAGAAUGAGAUUUAUUUUAGCAAUUCGUCAUUGUUUUGUUGGAUUAAUAAAAAAGUACAAUAUGAGUAUGCCUAAUUUCGCCAUUAACUUCAAGAUAAAAAUAAAAAUAAAAAUAUAAUAUGUGUAGGCCUAAUUUUAACAUUAACUUUAAGGGUGAAUAAAAAUAAAAGAAUAUAAGAUAAUCCAAAAUUUAUAUUGUAUCCUAGAAGUUUAGAUUUAUUUUGUUUUAUUUGAUUUUAUUUAAUAUUUUUCUUGUAACAUUAGAUGGGUUUUAGGCAUGUAAAAAAAUAAUAACAUUUGUUUCAAUUAAGAAUGUGGUUACACAUCUUUUUUGAAACACUUAAAAGAAAUUCAAGGAUGUGGUGACACACCUUGAUAAAAUUAUUCUAAUAUAUAUUUUAACAUGUGGAUUAAUUUAAUUAAAAGUAUCACCAAUAAAUAUAAUAAUGAAAUGAGAAGAUUAGUUGUCAAGAAUUCAGAAAAAUAAGAGCAAGUACUUUAAUACUAGAUGAGUUUUAUGCACGUUAAAAAUGUUUGUUUCAAUUAAGAAUGCGGUUGCGCAUCUUUUUUGAGACAUUAAAAUAAACUCAAGGAUGCGGUGACGCACCUUGUCCAAAAAUAUAAUUGGUUUUUUAUUAAUUUAAGAUAGUGACUUAUAAAAAAAAUAAGGUCAUUAAGUGUGAUGCAAAGAAGACAGUUAUGUCUCUAAAAUGUCAAGAUCGAUAAUGCAGUUAUGCAUCCGGCUUAAGAAUAAUAAAAGUUCAACAAUUAAAAAAUAAGUGAACCAUGGCCUUAGACACAAAUUAUCCAAAAACAUAUUAAAAUAAGUAUAAGUCAAUAAAAGUGACCGUACUAGAACCACGGGACUCGAGGGAUGCCUAAUACCUUUCCCUCGGUCAACAGAAUUCCUUGCCCAAAUUUCUAGUUCGUAGACCAAAACUAAAAAAGUCAUUUUUUAUUGAUUAGGGAUUCAAAAAGGUGACUUGGAACACCACAACUCAAUUCCAAGUGGCGACUCUGAAACGAAAAAAAAUAAUCCCUUAAUCAAUAAAGUCACUUAAAUUGGAAAAACCCUUCCGCUGCUGUGCGCAAAAAGGGGUGUGACAGUUAGGGUUUUGGGCUUAUGAUUUUUAAGGGUUUAGAGUUCAAGGUUUAGUGUUUGGGAUUUAGGGUUCUUUAGGUUUAGGGGUUUAAAGUUUUUUUUAAAGGUUUUUAGGGUUUACGGUUUUUAAAAGUUUAGGGUUUUAAAAUUUUUUAGGGUAUUUUUUAUUUCUUAAAGUUUAGGGUUUCUUAAGGUUUAAAGUUCAGGGUUUCUUAGGGUUUUAGGUUUAAGAUUUUUUAUGGUUUUGUUAACGAUUAAGGGGUUCUUAGAUCUUAGGGAUUUUAUAGGGUUUUUAGGGUUUACGGUUUUUAAAAGUUUAGGGUUUUAAAAUUUUUUUAGGGUAUUUUUUAUUUCUUAAAGUUUAGGGUUUCUUAAGGUUUAAAGUUCAGGGUUUCUUAGGGUUUUAGGUUUAAGAUUUUUUAUGGUUUUGUUAACGAUUAAGGGGUUCUUAGAUCUUAGGGAUUUUAUAGGGUUUUUAGGGUUUACGGUUUUUAAAAGUUUAGGGUUUUAAAAUUUUUUUAGGGGUAUUUUUUAUUUCUUAAAGUUUAGGGUUUCUUAAGGUUUAAAGUUCAGGGUUUCUUAGGGUUUUAGGUUUAAGAUUUUUUAUGGUUUUGUUAACGAUUAAGGGGUUCUUAGAUCUUAGGGAUUUUUAUAGGGUUUUUAGGGUUUAGGAUCUUAGGUUUUAGGGUAUUAGGGUUUAUAAGGGUUUAGAGUUUCUUAGGGUAUAUUAUUUAGCGUUUAGGAUUUCUUAGGGUUUGGUUUUUCUAAGGGUGUUUAGGAUUUAGGGUUAAGAUUUACUACGGUUUUAUUAGGUUUAGAGGAAUUUUUAGGUUUAGGGUUUUAAGGUGUUUAAGAUUUUUAUGGUUUGUUAACGAUUAAGGGGUUCUUAGAUCUUAGGGAUUUUAUAGGGUUUUUAGGGUUUACGGUUUUUAAAAGUUUAGGGUUUUAAAAUUUUUUUAGGGUAUUUUUUAUUUCUUAAAGUUUAGGGUUUCUUAAGGUUUAGCCCUAAGUUUAGGGUUUCCUUGGGUAUAAGGUCUAAGUUUUUAUUUAAGGUUUAGGGCUUAAGUUUUUGUUGAACUUUUUAGGUUUAGGAUUUUAAAAGGGGUUUUCAAGAUUGUUAUGAUUUCCUACGGUUUAAGGAUUCUUAGGGCUUUGAAUUUCUUUGGGUUAAGGACUUAGGAUUUUAAAUUUAGGAUUUUUAGGGGUUACGGGUUUUAAAGGUGUUUUUAGGUUUAGUAUUUUUAAAGGUGUUUUUAGGCUUUAGGAUUUUCCUAGGCAAGGGUUUGUUGGUGUUUCACAAGUCUUGAGGUUUAGGGGUUUCCCUAAGGUUUAGGGUUUAGUGUUUCUUAAGGUUUAGGAUUUUAAAAGGGGUCUUCAAGAUUGUUAUGAUUUCUUACGAUUUAGGGGUUCUCAAGGCUUAGGGUUUCUUUGGCUUAAGGGCAUAGGAUUUUAAAUUUAGGGUUUUUAGGGGUUACGGGUUUUAAGGGUGUUUUUAGGUUUAGUACUUUUAAAGGUGAUUUUAGUAUUUCUUAGGCUUUAGGGUUUGUUGGUGUUUCAUAAGUCUUGGAGUUUCCCCAAGGUUUAGGGUUUAGUGUUUCUUAGGGUUUAGGGUUUCUUAGGGGUUUUAGAUUUUAGGCUUUUAAAGGUGUUGAUCGAAUAUGCUUAUGAUAUGCCAGCUCAAGGUUAGCUUGGGGUCACUCGUGAUCCUAGGUCUCGUGUUACGUCAAGCGGGUAACCUCGGGGAGUGACAAAAACAAUGUAUGAAUAAAAGCAUCUAACUAACUAGAGAUGCUGGGAAAAGCCCCCAGCUAACUCUAGCAAAACUGAAACUAAAAUGAAAGACUGAAUAUAAAAACAUGUAAAUCGUCCUCGAAAAACGAGGACUGACCGCUGAUAUUGCUUAAUACGGAUCGGAAACUGAUCUCCGCGUGAUCUGAAUGUUGAGGACCUGAACCUACAUCAAGAGAAGAGGUAGCGUAGAGUAUGUAUCAGCAGUUGAAAUAUUCUGAGCAUGCAUGACAUGACAAAGCUGAACAAAUAUAUAUAACUUAACAGAGCAUAUUGCAGAAUAGUAUAAUCUGAACAUAAGAGUUUAGGGUUUCUUAGAUUAGGCUUUUAUAGGUGUUGAUAUAAUAUGCUUAUGAUAUGCCAACUCAAGCUUAGCUUGGGGUCACUCGUGAUCCUAGGUCUCGUGUUACGUUAAGCGGGUAACCUCGGGGAGUGACAACAACAAUGUAUGAAUAAAAGCCUCUGACUAACUAGAGAUGCUGGGACAUGCACCCAGCUAACUUUAGCAAAACUGAAAAUAAAAUGAAAGACUGAAUAUAAAACAUGUCAAUCGUCCUCGAAAAACAAGGACUCACCACUGAUAUUGCUGAAUACGGAUCGGGAUCCGAUCUCCGCGUGAUCUGAAUGCUGAGGACCUGAACCUACAUCAAGAGAAGAGGUAUGUAUCAGCAGUUGAAAUAUUCUGAGCAUGCAUGACAUGACGAAGCUUAACAAAUAUAUAUAAUUUAACAGAGCAUAUUGAAGAAUAAUAUAAUUUGAACAUGAUGAAUAAGAGUUUAGGUUUUUGUUUAAGGGAUUUUAGGUUAGGGUUUUAGAUGAAGGAAUUUUUUUAGGGUUUUAAAGGUUUGUUUUUGGAAUUUUUAGUUUUAGGGUUUUAAAGGUUUAGCUUUUCUUAGGAUUUCUUAGAGUUUCAUAAGGCUUAGGGUUGGGGUUUAUCCCUAAGGUUUAGGGUUUAAGUUUCUUAGGGUUAAAGUUUAACAUUUAAGGUCUCCUAGGUUUUUUUUGGGUCAUUUAAGGUGUAGGUGUUUAGGGUUUAGUGUUUUAGGUUUAGGGUUUUUCUACGGUUUAGGGUUUAGGUUUGAUAGGUUUAAGAUUUUUUAGGUUUAGAGUUUGGAAAGUUCUUUUUGUUGUUAUUUAAUGUUUAUAUUUUCUUAGGAUUUAGGAUUUCUUAGGGUUUAGGGCUUCUUAGAGUUUCAUAAGGCUUAGGGUUGGGGGUUUAUCCCUAAGGUUUAGGGUUUAGGUUUCUUAGGGUUUGAGUUGAACAUUUAAGGUCUCCUAGUUUUUUCUGGGUCAUUUAGGGUGUAUGGUUUAGUGUUUUAGGUUUAGGGUUUUUCUAGAAUAGGGUUUAGGUUUGUUAGGUUUAAGAUUUUUUAGAGGUUUUCUAGGGUUAGAGUUUAUAAAAAUAAAUUUAUUGUGUUUCUGGGUUUUGGGUUUCUUAGUGCUUUUUUGGGUUUAGUGUUUGGGGUUUUCUUAGGGGUUAGGGUUCUGGGCUUAUGAUUUUUAAGGGUUUAAGGUUCAAGGUUUAGUGUUUGGGAUUUAGGGUUCUUUAGGUUUAGGGGUUU
rnacentral:lncRNA from 1 species